AAGACAUUGGGAAGCUGCUUUGGCCCCACGAAGGAACUGGAACAUUCGAAGUGUUGUAGGGGAUAGUGGGUGUACUUCCCCUUCUGAAGGACAUCCCGCCAUUGUGUGCACUAAAAGUUUCCUUGUCUCAGUGCUGUUACUCGGUCAUGUAUCAAAGUAUGUCAUGGUUAUGUCCAGGGGCUUUCUGGUGCUCUGCUCGAUCUCUGUGGACGAUAGCUGUUCAUGAGCCCCCGAACAGAAGGAAGAGACUACACAAGGGGGGCUCACCGCAAGAGUUACAGUGAAUGAGUAAACGCUAACAACUCUGCAAGGCAUUAAAUGCAAGUCG